rnacentral:rRNA from 1 species
GUUUGAUCCUGGCUCAGGAUGAACGCUAGCGGCAGGCUUAACACAUGCAAGUCGAGGGGCAGCACGAGGUAGCAAUACUUUGGUGGCGACCGGCGCACGGGUGCGUAACGCGUAUGCAACCUACCUUUAACAGGGGCAUAACACUGAGAAAUUGGUACUAAUUCCCCAUAACAUUCGAGAAGGCAUCUUCUUGGGUUAAAAACUCCGGUGGUUAAAGAUGGGCAUGCGUUGUAUUAGCUAGUUGGUGAGGUAACGGCUCACCAAGGCAACGAUACAUAGGGGGACUGAGAGGUUAACCCCCCACAUUGGUACUGAGACACGGACCAAACUCCUACGGGAGGCAGCAGUGAGGAAUAUUGGUCAAUGGACGCAAGUCUGAACCAGCCAUGCCGCGUGCAGGAAGACGGCUCUAUGAGUUGUAAACUGCUUUUGUACGAGGGUAAACUCACCUACGUGUAGGUGACUGAAAGUAUCGUACGAAUAAGGAUCGGCUAACUCCGUGCCAGCAGCCGCGGUAAUACGGAGGAUCCGAGCGUUAUCCGGAUUUAUUGGGUUUAAAGGGUGCGUAGGCGGUUUGAUAAGUUAGAGGUGAAAUUUCGGGGCUCAACCCUGAACGUGCCUCUAAUACUGUUGAGCUAGAGAGUAGUUGCGGUAGGCGGAAUGUAUGGUGUAGCGGUGAAAUGCUUAGAGAUCAUACAGAACACCGAUUGCGAAGGCAGCUUACCAAACUAUAUCUGACGUUGAGGCACGAAAGCGUGGGGAGCAAACAGGAUUAGAUACCCUGGUAGUCCACGCAGUAAACGAUGAUAACUCGUUGUCGGCGAUACACAGUCGGUGACUAAGCGAAAGCGAUAAGUUAUCCACCUGGGGAGUACGUUCGCAAGAAUGAAACUCAAAGGAAUUGACGGGGGCCCGCACAAGCGGAGGAACAUGUGGUUUAAUUCGAUGAUACGCGAGGAACCUUACCCGGGCUUGAACUGCAG